UACGAAGGGGGCGAGCGUUGUUCGGAAUUACUGGGCGUAAAGGGCGCGUAGGCGGCCGAUCAAGUUAGAUGUGAAAGUCCUGGGCUUAACCUGGGGACUGCAUUUGAUACGGUGUGGCUAGAGUUCGGGAGAGGAGAGUGGAAUUCCCAGUGUAGAGGUGAAAUUCGUAGAUAUCGGCAGGAACACCCAGGGGGAAACCAGUCGACUGGGCAUCUACUGACGCUGAGGUGCGAGAGCGUGGGGAGCGAACCGG
rnacentral:rRNA from 1 species